rnacentral:rRNA from 1 species
CCUACGGGAGGCAGCAGUGGGGAAUAUUGGGCAAUGGGCGCAAGCCUGACCCAGCAACGCCGCGUGAAGGAAGAAGGCUUUCGGGUUGUAAACUUCUUUUCUCAGGGACGAAGAAAGUGACGGUACCUGAGGAAUAAGCCACGGCUAACUACGUGCCAGCAGCCGCGGUAAUACGUAGGUGGCAAGCGUUAUCCGGAUUUACUGGGUGUAAAGGGGGUGUAGGCGGGAAAGCAAGUCAGAUGUGAAAACCAUGGGCUCAACCUGUGGCCUGCAUUUGAAACUGUUUUUCUUGAGUACUGGAGAGGCAGACGGAAUUCCUAGUGUAGCGGUGAAAUGCGUAGAUAUUAGGAGGAACACCAGUGGCGAAGGCGGUCUGCUGGACAGCAACUGACGCUGAGGCGCGAAAGCGUGGGGAGCAAACAGGAUUAGAUACCCCAGUAGUC